rnacentral:rRNA from 2 species
GUUGAUCCUGGCUCAGAACGAACGCUGGCGGCGUGGCUAAGGCAUGCAAGUCGAACGGAACUGGUUUUGGGUAACCGAUUUCCAGUUUAGUGGCGAACGGGUGAGGAAUACGUGGGUAACGUGCCCCGGACACAGGGAUAGCGGCGGGAUCUUCGGAUCCCUUUGCGAAAGUGCCGGUAAUACCUGAUGACCCGGAAGCACCGCAUGGUGCAACCGGCAAAGGUCAGCCGGUCCGGGAUCGGCCCACGGCCUAUCAGCUUGUUGGUGAGGUAACGGCUCACCAAGGCAUCGACGGGUAUCGGGCGUGAGAGCGUGACCCGACACAUCGGAACUGAGACACUGUCCGGACACCUACGGGUGGCUGCAGCAACGAAUAUUCCGCAAUGGGCGCAAGCCUGACGGAGCGACGCCGUGUGGAGGAUGAAGUCUUUCGGGAUGUAAACUCCUGUCAGGGGUUAGGAAGAUCUGACCAGCCCCAAAGGAAGCACCGGCUAACUCCGUGCCAGCAGCCGCGGUAAUACGGAGGGUGCGAGCGUUGUUCGGAUUCAUUGGGCUUAAAGCGCGCGUAGGCGGGACAGCAGGUGCCUUGUGAAAUCCCUCGGCUCAACCGAGGAACUGCCCGGCAAAACCGCUGUUCUUGAGGCAGGUAGAGGCAGAAUGG